rnacentral:rRNA from 1 species
AUCUUGAAAAUUAAAGAAUUUGGCGGUAUUUUAGUCUAUUUAAAGAGAACCUGUCCUGUAAUUGAUGAUCCACGAUUUUUUCUACUUAUCUUAGAAGUUUACAUAUCGCUGUGGGUUGAAUAUUUUUAAAAAAGGACAAUAUUCAAUAGUUUUUAUAAAAAAGUAAUUCAGGUCAAGAUGUAGUUUAUAGAUAAGAAGAGAUGGGUUACAAUAAAUUUAUUUAUAAUGGAUUAAUAAAUGUAAUUUUGUUAUGAAGGUGGAUUUAAAAGUAAUUUUAUUUAAAUUUAUAUGAUGAUUUUAGCUCUAAAAUAUGCACAUAUCGCCCGUCGCUUUCAUUAUAAAAUGGAAUAAGUCGUAACAAAGUAGAGGUACUGGAAAGUGUCUCUAGAAAGAUCAAGUUAGAGCUUGUUAAAGCAUUUUAGUUACAUUAAAAAGUUUAUUGUAAAUUCAAUAUAAUUUGAAUGUAAAUUUUUAUUAUUUAAGUUUAGUUAUAAAAAGAUUUAUAUAAAUAUAUUAAGUUUUUAUUAAUUUUUUUUGAACAAAUAAUUUUUAUUAUAGAGAAUUAGUAUUGUAAAAGAAUAAUUUUUUAUUUAAAAAAGAAGAAUUUAUUUUUUGUACCUUGGGUAUCAGGGUUUAUCAAAUUUUUAUUAAAAAUUUAAUAUUCUCGAAUUAAUAAGAGUUAUAGCUAUAUAAUUAUUUUUGUAGAAUAAAAAUUAUUAAUAUAGUUAUAGAAGUGAAAUGCUAUUCGAUUAUUAAUAUAUCUAGUUUUUAAAGAAAAAAAUUUAAUUUUUUUAUUAAUUAAUAUGAAAUUAAAUUUUUAAUUUUGUAUUUAUUAAUAUUUUAUACUUUAAGGGAUGAGCUUUAAAGUAAAUUUUUUUAAGAUAUUAACUAAAGAAGAUUUAAUUAAGUAGAAUUAUAAGUUUUUAGCUUUAAAAGUGUGUUGUAACUAUUUUAAGAUAAAGUAAAAUUUAUAUAAGUAUUUUGAAAUUUUUUAUUUAAAUAAAAAUUUUAAUUUAGUAAAAUUUUGUAAUAAUGAUUAAAUUAGUAUAAAUUUAUGUUUAAUAAAAUUUUUAUUUUAGGUUAAAUAAAGGAAUUCGGCAAAUAUAUUUUUCACCUGUUUAUUAAAAACAUGGCUUUUUGAGAAUAAUUUAAGGUCUAACCUGCCCAAUGAAAAUUUAAAUGGCCGCGGUAUUUUGACCGUGCAAAGGUAGCAUAAUCAUUAGUUUUUUAAUUGAAAGCUGGAAUGAAGGGUUGGAUGAAAAAAUUUCUGUCUCUAUUUAAAUUGUUUAGAAUUUUAUUUUUAAGUAAAAAAGCUUAAAUUAAAAUAGAAGACGAGAAGACCCUAUAGAGUUUUAUUUAUUUUUUAUUUAAAUUUUUUAGGAUUAAU